rnacentral:rRNA from 1 species
UGGGGAAUAUUGCACAAUGGACGGAAGUUUGAUGCAGCGACGCCGCGUGGAGGGUGUAGGCCUUCGGGUUGUGAACUCCUUCUUCUCGUGAAAAAGGCACAGUUUUGGCUGUGUUGAUGGUAGUGGGGGAAGAAGCGCCGGCUAACCACGUGCCAGCAGCCGCGGUAAUACGUAGGGCGCGAGCGUUGUCCGGAUUUAUGUGGUGUAAAGAGCUAGUAGGUGGUUCGUCGCGUCUGUCGUGAAAGCCAGCAGCUUAACUGUUGGUCUGCGGUGGGUACGGGCGGGCUUGAGUGCGGUAGGGGUGACUAGAAUUCCUGGUGUAGCGGAGACAUGCGCAGAUAUCAGGAGGAACACCGAUGGCGAAGGCAGGUCACUGGGCCGUUACUGACACUGAGGAGCGAAAGCGUGGGGAGCGAACAGG